GACGUAGGGCGCGAGCGUUGUCCGGAUUUAUUGGGCGUAAAGAGCUCGUAGGCGGCUUGUCGCGUCGAAUGUGAAAUCCCGCGGCUCAACUGCGGGUCUGCAGUCGAUACGGGCAGGCUAGAGUUCGGUAGGGGAGACUGGAAUUCCUGGUGUAGCGGUGAAAUGCGCAGAUAUCAGGAGGAACACCGAUGGCGAAGGCAGGUCUCUGGGCCGAUACUGACGCUGAGGAGCGAAAGCGUGGGGAGCGAACAGG
rnacentral:rRNA from 1 species